CUACGGGGGGCAGCAGUGAGGAAUAUUGCACAAUGGAGGAAACUCUGAUGCAGCAACGCCGCGUGGAGGAUGACGCAUUUCGGUGUGUAAACUCCUUUUAUAUGUCAAGAAAAUGACGGUAGCAUAUGAAUAAGCUCCGGCUAACUCCGUGCCAGCAGCCGCGGUAAUACGGAGGGAGCAAGCGUUACUCGGAAUCACUGGGCGUAAAGGACGCGUAGGCGGGAUAGAAAGUCAGGUGUGAAAUCCUACAGCUUAACUGUAGAACUGCACUUGAAACUUCUAAUCUAGAGUAUGGGAGGGGGAGAUGGAAUUAGUGGUGUAGGGGUAAAAUCCGUAGAUAUCACUAGGAAUACCUAAAGCGAAGGCGAUCUCCUGGAACAUUACUGACGCUAAGGCGUGAAAGCGUGGGGAGCAAACAGGAUUAGAUACCCCUGUAGUC
rnacentral:rRNA from 1 species